AACAUCCUCUCUUUCUCACUAACGCUAUAAUUCUCUCUCUCUCUCUCGCUCACAACUCUAAACUCUCUCUCUUUCUCUUUCUAAAGAGGCGCAGUUGGGUUGCCGCGAGGCAGAGCUCCAUCGUCGCCAGUUGAAGGAUUUCUUCUCAAUUAGAAUCUGAUGGGGCUUCCCUUCUUAUUUCUUCCCGCUCUUCUUAUUUCUUCCCACUCUUUUUUUUUCUUUCUCGCCAAUUCUUAGAUCUACAUCCUAAAAGGCAAAAUCAUGGCCCCAGACCAACGAUUGCAAGCCCAAUCCAUCUACCAUCGGCGACGAGGAAGGCGAUUGCUGUUUGUCGGCCAAGCAAGAAGCUGAAACAGGGCGCGAAGAGAUGCGAAUAGUAGGAUCGUGGACCAACUCAAAUCCCGGUACAUCCCAAUAACUUUCGGAAUGCACAGGUUCAAAUGACUUAGAAUAUGUAUUCUUAUAAGCCAUUAUAUCGUAAUAAUCCUUCACCAUUAAUGCAGCAUUAAUCAUGUAUGCAGCGCAUACCUUUUGAGCGUGACUGCAAUGAAUACCAAAUUGAGUCCAUUUGUCGCAAGAAUAUUCUCGGUUCGCAAUUUUGACAACAUGGGUGUUGACUCCAUGUCUACUGUGACGUCUUGUAACAACCGAGGCGGACUGUUGGAACUGAUGGUAUUUGGUGACGGUAUGUUCAACAGAAUUUUGAUGCCAACGUGUGAACAUUUUAUGUGCAAAAUCCAUCCACAGUUGGUUGUUGGCCAACAUUACAAUACCUCUCGCUAACUUCUCACGGAAAUGAUGGACACUUCGCUGAAACGUCAUCUCAGCAAUUGCUGUCAACGGUAGGCGGCGAACCCCUUUCAAUACUCCGUUUAUGCAUUCCGACAUAUUUGUCGUCAAAAUUCCACAUCGCCAUCCACCAUCAUGUGAUGCUGUUCAUUUUUCCUUGUCGAUCCUAUCUAACCACUGAAAUGCCUCUAGUGACUGGCUCUUUAUCUCAUCCAUAAUGCGAUUGAAUUUUCUGAUCUGAUAUUCAGAGCCAGCUUUCCAACAAAGAUCCUUCAACACAACAUUUUUGUGUUUACUGUUGAAAUUGGAACACACAUGCCGCAAGCAAUAUCGGUGCAUGUCGUUAGGUGACACGAAAUCCGGAUAUUCACGUACAACUCUUGUGAUUCCAGCAUGGCGGUCAGAAAUAAGGCAGAUACCCCGUCGCCCCCGUAUAGUAUGUCUGCU